UACGUAGGGUGCAAGCGUUGUCCGGAAUUAUUGGGCGUAAAGAGCUCGUAGGCGGUUUGUCGCGUCGGCUGUGAAAUCCCGAGGCUCAACCUCGGGCCUGCAGUCGAUACGGGCAAACUAGAGUGUGGUAGGGGAGACUGGAAUUCCUGGUGUAGCGGUGGAAUGCGCAGAUAUCAGGAGGAACACCGGUGGCGAAGGCGGGUCUCUGGGCAGUAACUGACGCUGAGGAGCGAAAGCGUGGGGAGCGAACAGG
rnacentral:rRNA from 1 species